CAGCUAGCGGGGCAGCGAUUGUGGCUUCACCGUGGUAACGAGGAGAAAAGCAGCACGUGACAGCAAAGAGCGGAGAGAGACAGCGUAUCCAGCGAUCUAAAAGACAGAGUAAGAUACAUUGUGGAUUUUACAUGUGGAUGUGUAUCUGGUACUAUAGCUUAAUUGCCACCAGAUGUCCCUUCCUCUCUGUCAGUCUUACGCUUCCCAUUUCUCUCAAUGAACUGCCUCAGGAAUGGAGUGGAGUUUCCAAAGCCCAAGAUGACAAGCACUGACAGCUGAUCACUGAGAGAAGAUCCCCAGUGACCAAAGUGUGGCUCUGGAGUCCUUAAAUGUGUGGAGUGACAGGCUGGUCUUCUCAGAAAACAAUAUAAAUUCUUAGAAGGGGAGGUCUUUGACAGCUGGUUGCACCUCCUUUGGGAAGCCUGAAAGAUGUAACCACUGAAGCUCACCACAUCACAACCACUGUUGAGAUGGACCAGGCCACUGUGUCAAGCACCAUCUGGAGUGCUGUUUUGGCCGCCAACUGCCCUUUGUUGAUAAUGGCUCGAAACUGUUCCCAUGGUGAUCCCAGGAGAUGGUCAAUAAAGACAUUAAGUUUGGUAUAGUUCAUGUAAUCAUAUUUUGCUUUUAAGGCCUGGUAGUUUGCAAUUCUAAAUUGCAGAGUAGCAGAAGAGUAGGCCUUUUGUCCAAAUAAGUCAAGGCACUUCCAAUCCCUGUCAUAAGGGAUGGACUUAGAAUGAUGUUGCUGGC